GAGUUUGAUCGUGGCUCAGAACGAACGCUGGCGGCGUGGAUAAGACAUGCAAGUCGAACGGGAGAAUUGCUAGCUUGCUAAUAAUUCUCUAGCGGCGCACGGGUGAGUAACACGUGAGUAACCUGCCCCCGAGAGCGGGAUAGCCCUGGGAAACUGGGAUUAAUACCGCAUAGUAUCGAAAGAUUAAAGCAGCAAUGCGCUUGGGGAUGGGCUCGCGGCCUAUUAGUUAGUUGGUGAGGUAACGGCUCACCAAGGCGAUGACGGGUAGCCGGUCUGAGAGGAUGUCCGGCCACACUGGAACUGAGACACGGUCCAGACACCUACGGGUGGCAGCAGUCGAGAAUCAUUCACAAUGGGGGGAAACCCUGAUGGUGCGACGCCGCGUGGGGGAAUGAAGGUCUUCGGAUUGUAAACCCCUGUCAUGUGGGAGCAAAUUAAAAAGAUAGUACCACAAGAGGAAGAGACAGCUAACUCUGUGCCAGCAGCCGCGGUAAG
rnacentral:rRNA from 1 species